UACGGGGGGGGCAAGCGUUGUUCGGAAUUACUGGGCGUAAAGGGCUCGUAGGCGGCCUUCUAAGUCAGACGUGAAAUCCCCCGGCUUAACCUGGGAACUGCGUCUGAUACUGAAGAUCUUGAGUUCGGGAGAGGUGAGUGGAACUGCGAGUGUAGAGGUGAAAUUCGUAGAUAUUCGCAAGAACACCAGUGGCGAAGGCGGCUCACUGGCCCGAUACUGACGCUGAGGCACGAAAGCGUGGGAGCAAACAGG
rnacentral:rRNA from 1 species